rnacentral:rRNA from 1 species
GCUUGUCUCAAAGAUUAAGCCAUGCAUGUCUUAGUGUAAAUAACUCUUAUGAAACUGCGAAUGGCUCAUUAAAUCAGUUAUCAAAUACGUGAUGGUCGCCUACUACAUGGAUAACCGUAGUAAUUCUAGAGCUAAUACAUGCUAAAAACCCCGACUUCGGGAGGGGUGUAUUUAUUAGAUAAAAAACCAAUGCCCCUCGGGGCUCCUUGGUGAAUCAUAAUAACUUAACGAAUCGCAUGGCCUUGCGCCGGCGAUGGUUCAUUCAAAUUUCUGCCCUAUCAACUUUCGAUGGUAGGAUAGUGGCCUACCAUGGUGGCAACGGGUAACGGGGAAUUAGGGUUCGAUUCCGGAGAGGGAGCCUGAGAAACGGCUACCACAUCCAAGGAAGGCAGCAGG